AGCCCAACGAGAUCGGGAUAACACCUGGAAACAGAUGCUAAUACCGGAUAACAACAGAUGAUGCCUAUCAACUGUUUAAAAGAUGGUUCUGCUAUCACUCUUGGAUGGACCUGCGGUGCAUUAGCUAGUUGGUAGGGUAACGGCCUACCAAGGCGAUGAUGCAUAGCCGAGUUGAGAGACUGAUCGGCCACAUUGGGACUGAGACACGGCCCAAACUCCUACGGGAGGCAGCAGG
rnacentral:rRNA from 1 species